ACGAACGCUGGCGGCGUGCUUAACACAUGCCAGUCGCACGGAAAGGCCCUGCUUUUGUGGGGUGCUCGAGUGGCGAACGGGUGAGUAACACGUGAGUAACCUGCCCUUGACUUUGGGACAACUUCAGGAAACUGGGGCUAAUACCGGAUAGGAGCUCCUGCUGCAUGGUGGGGGUUGGAAAGUUUCGGCGGUUGGGGAUGGACUCGCGGCUUAUCAGCUUGUUGGUGGGGUAGUGGCUUACCAAGGCUUUGACGGGUAGCCGGCCUGAGAGGGUGACCGGCCACAUUGGGACUGAGAUACGGCCCAGACUCCUACGGGAGGCAGCAGUGGGGAAUAUUGCACAAUGGGCGGAAGCCUGAUGCAGCAACGCCGCGUGCGGGAUGACGGCCUUCGGGUUGUAAACCGCUUUCGCCUGUGACGAAGCGUGAGUGACGGUAAUGGGUAAAGAAGCACCGGCUAACUACGUG
rnacentral:rRNA from 1 species